rnacentral:lncRNA from 1 species
CUAAAUUAGGGGCUUCGGAAAACAGAGAUCAACAACGAAACUAAUCUAAGCUAGCCAAGAAGAAAAGGUUGAGGGUGAUACGACUAGGGGAACGAAGCCCCUCCUCCGGUGAACACCGACAGCGUCGUAGUCGGACUCCGGGACUUCACAGGCGGAGGUGUCCAAGCCCAGCACAGAUCCGUCACCGUUAUCUUCAGUCCGCCAUCCACGGAGGUGUCCCGCGGCGGCCCCAAAACGUCGGACGCAAAACGAUGAAGAAGGUGUCCUUCCCGUCCAUCAUCACGGUUUGAGAGGAGGGCGGCUCAGAUGAAGAAGAAACAAUGGAAACCAUACAAACUCUCCGCCGUCGCCAACCCACCGCGAAUCUUCCCGUCCAGCAUCACGCUUGCUCUGAUCGUUCUUCACGCGGUUUAUCAGGUCUUCUCUUUUCUUAUUAUACAAACUUUGUUUUUCUUUCUGCCAAGUGACUGGUGCCGGAAAAUAAACCGUAAACGUAGAUCCACCGUACUGCUCUGUUUUCUGUCUCUUAAAAUUGUGCUUAUAUAUAUUAUUUGACUGUCAAAGGUAUAAUUAAGUAUUCCGUUAAUCCAUCAAACAACUAAUUUUUUCGAGAUGUUCGAACUCUCACACUGGCGGACAAGUAAGAGCAUAUUAUAUGCUAGACCAAAAUAACUUUCUUGUAUAGAUUGUGUAAACAUUAACUUAUAUAUAAGUUUUAGUUUAAUCAAAUAAACGUUAUCUAAAUUUUAUUGUUUUAGUUUUAUCAAAUAAACCUAUAAUUAUUUAUGUUUUCAAAUUUAACUUUAGAAAUCAUUACUUUUUUAAGUUUAAAUUAUUUAUUAUUAAUUCAAAUAUUUAUAUUAUACUUAUUCACCAGUGUGAGAGUUCGAAUUUCCCAAAAAGUAAUUUUUAGUUUUACAGAAAUUAUCUAAAAUGACGGGUUUUGAUAAAUUAACAGAUGACUAACAGCUUUCACAGUUAAUAUAUAUAAGCAUGAUUUUGAGAAUUUACGUAAUAUUUUCAAAAUUUCUAAUUUUACAGAAUCCAUCCAAAAUGACGCCGUUUUGAUAAAUUAACGGAUGGUGGCUAAUGCUUUUGACGGAUAAGCACGAUUAUGAGAAUUCAUAUUAUAUUAUUAUUUUUAUUUUUUUCUUAGUUCAAUAUGGAAUAUGCAUUACUAUAAAGUUUGUGAAUGAAAAAAGCACGACGCGUAAAGUUUAUGUAGUAUUUUUAAAAUUUUGGGUUUAGUUCAAUAUAACAUACACACUCUUACAAAGUUCUAAAAGGAAUAAGCACAACGCUUAAAUUUCAGGUUGAGAUAUACCUUUUUUUGGUGAUGAGGUUGAAAUAUACCAUUUUACCUUAUGUUACGUGAAUGUUUUUGGGUGAGCGGUAAUGUAAUUUCAGAUAAGAGUCAAAUCGCAAUUUAUUAAGAGGUUAAACUUCUUACAAUUGGGCUUUGAGGCCCAUUAGGAUACAAUAAAUUAUCCGGAUAUGAUUCUUACGUUACGCGUCGCUAUCCAAAUGGGCCUUAUUGACGUAGUUUCUUGAAUGAGUUUAUUUCAGUGUGAAUUUGUAGUUGCGAAGACCCAAUUACACUUUUGAUAUAUAUAUAUUUGGGGUGAAUUUUGAAAUCUAGAUAUAGUAAAAAUUAAUUCGUAGUUUAAGGCACCAAGUUACCGUUAGAGUCAACAAAAAAGAGAAAAAUAAUAGAAUUUAAUUCAUGUUACCGUUAGAGCAAAUUAAAAAAAGAAAAAAAAAAGAGAAAAUAAUAGAAUUUAAUUCAUGACCGUUGGAGACAAAAAGAUCAAAUCUCCAGCCUCGCCUAUAAAUAAAGACCUCCUCUCGUACAGAACCUUACACUUGUCUUCUUCCUCUCUUACAGAACCUUAUGUUUUUUCUUUCUUAAAUAUAUUAUAUUAAUUCUUACCUAAAUUAGGGGAUUCGGAAAACAGAGAUCAACAACGAAACUAAUCUAAGCUAGCCAAGAAGAAAAGGUUGAGGGUGAUACGACUAGGGGAACGAAGCCCCCUCCUCCGGUGAACACCGACAGCGUCGUAGUCGGACUCCGGGACUUCACAGGCGGAGGUGUCCAAGCCCAGCACAGAUCCGUCACCGUUAUCUUCAGUCCGCCAUCAUGCUGUUCACUGGUCCGAACCACCGCGAAUCUUCCCGUCCAUCAUCACGGUUUGAGAGGAGGGCGGCUCAGAUGAAGAAGAAACAAUGGAAACCAUACAAACUCUCCGCCGUCGCCAACCCACCGCGAAUCUUCCCGUCCAGCAUCACGCUUGCUCUGAUCGUUCUUCACGCGGUUUAUCAGGUCUU